GAUCUCUCCGGCUCGCCGCUCUCCUCCCGCCCGUCCUUCACUCCGCCGCUCCAAAAACCCCCUUCCUCCGCCGCUCCAAAAACCCCCUUCCUCCGGCCCGAUCUCCCUGGCAUGCCCCUCCCCGUGGCGUGGCCCCCGUUCUUUUCCACUUAAACCCCAGUCGGUGUGCGCUCCCCCUCCCCCCGAUCUCCCCGACGUUCCCCUACCCCUCCGGAUCUCCUCCACUCCAAUACCCCCAGCCGAUCGACGUCUUCCUCCUUAGUGCCCGGCCCCCACCCUCAACCCCCCUCCACCGGCGGUAAGGAACUGAAGGCGGUCAUAUAUAUGACCAAUCAGUCGCUUUCUUGGUUCAACCAAGGAAUGGGCUGUACUAGUUUGAGCAAGAAGAAAGUGAAGGGUGCUUGUGCUUUGAAUUCCAUGAAUCACGCUCACCAGCCAUGUGACAAUUGCAUAAUAUAAGGUUUGAAUGGUGAUUUAGAGAUAUGAGCAAUCUAGCACAUUCAGAGAUAAUUUCUUUCAUUAAAAACUAAUUAUAUACAUUCAUUUGCACUAUCAAAAUAAAUGUUUAUAUUGGUCAAUACAAUAUGACUUUGCCGCUGCAGCCAUCCAGAUAUUGUUCUUUUUCUUGUGUUAAGUGCAGUAAUUUACAGAUAGUUAUACAAGACAUGCUAAAUGUGGAACAAACAUUUCAUUCAUUCCUAGAGCUUGGUACCAAUACACAAGUAGCAUUAUAAAGUUACAUAUCACACAAACCAAAUGAUAAAAUUUUAGCCCACAUGUGCCUGUUGUACAAUUGCAGACCCUGAGAACGUAACAGUAUUUACCUACCUUUUUAGUUACAGAAUGCAACAAAGAUGCCACAAAAAUAGCCUUACACAUCAAUAAGUUUCACUAGACUAGUUGUUUAGUGACAUUUUCCUUAAGAAAAUGCAAUGAGGAGAGCUUGAUUGGGAAACAGUAAUUUUGUAAGUAUGUUAUACUUUUUUUUAUUUUUUAACUGCUUAUAUCUUUGUAAAGGGAUGGUAGCCUACUUCAUUUCAAUACAUUAUGUGCAAUCCUCUUGAUAUUUUUUGUUUCCACUUGCUCUGGCAAUGUAUUGAAACUGUGAGGUUAAUGCAAUAUUGAAACUGGCUGUAAUCCAAUCGUAAUAGCUGCAUGGUGAUUAAUGGUGAACAUGCAUAUGUCUACAUAAUCUAAUGUGCAUUGAGGCAUUUUAAUUUAUUUGCACACAAACAUCAUCUUGUAGUCAUGCAAAAUUCUUCAUAAGAUCUGAACUGACAAGCAUUCAGACAGAUAAAUACACCAAAAUGUCUCUCCUUGCACAAAAUUAGUUUGGCAUAUCACUCUUGUUUGAAAUCCACAUAUGAGUAGUUCAUCAAAAUCUUUUGUAUGGUGAAGGAAAAGUAUGCAGUGUAUUGAAAAGCAUUAAUAUCAUGAUUGUUUUGAAACUUGAAGGAAACUUCAAUCAAAAUAUUUUUUUUUUAUGAAUAUUUUUACUACAACUUUCGUUUGGGCUUUGUUUUUAAAAAAAAAACAUGAUUGGGUAGGAAGCAUGCUAGGCAUGUCUUUUCAUGUAAAUUAAGAUUCUAGUCUAGAAAUAUAAUUGGAUGAAGAUUUAAGAUGGAUAUGUGCAAUGUCUAUAUAAAGAGAUGAAUAAAGGGAUUGGUGAUAAUGAAGCCUAGAGAAACAGAAGGGUACAUACUUGUUUGCAUGUAGCGAAACACAGCUCAGGUAACAUGGUUGUCUCUUUCUGUGUUCUCUCUCUUUUCUUCCCUGGAUGAGAGGCCAUUGAGACCAUUCCCAUAACAUAAUGAUGAUUCUUUUUUUAAUUAUAAUUACACUUAUUAGAGACUAUUCUCAAAAAUGGAGAUUGGUGAAAAUCUGAACCAACGGUGGACGUCUUGUAUUUAAGAAAGUAAUAUUUAAAAAAAAUAAAUAAAUCUUCAGAUAAUUAUUUUUUUUCCACCAAAUGAUCCUUCAAAUUAUUCUUUAAUCAAAUGUAUCAAGAAAUAUUCAGUUAUUCCAUGUACUAUUUACCGAUAUUACAAUUUAUUUACUUGACAAGUAUUUUGAAUGAGUGUAUACAAAUUUUAAACUACAGUUAUUAUGUAUGAUCAUUGACAAUGUUCUUUUUUUCAUCAUUUAUUAUGUUUAGCUUCUCCCAAAUUUGAUUUCAUAUGAAUUUAUUCUUUUUUGAUAUUUAUAAAAAAAUUAUUGUAUAUGGUUUUCAGGGAAUACAUAACGAUAACAAUAUCAGUGGAUAGUAGUUACAGAUAAAAGUUGGAUUGAUUUGUGAGCAAAGACUUCACCUACGUACAUUGAGGGGGUCAAUAAAUUUUUGCACUUUGCAUAUGCUAAUCAGAUAGAUGAUGUAAAGAUUUAUUGUCCGUGUAAGAAAUGUAAAAAUCAUUUUUUUGAGGACCGGCAUAUAGUGAAACAACAUAUUAUUACAAAAGAUUUCUGGACGACAUAUAAGAUUUGGACUUAUCAUGGAGAGACGUACUAUUCUACUAGGUCUAACCAAGACCGUGGAAGUAAAGAUUUUUUUGAUACGGAAGAUGCAUCUAGUGCUCACCAAACACAUGCAUCGGAAAAUGAGAGAUUCACUCAGGUGCCUGAUGAGGUUAAUAGAUGUUGCUAUUAUUAAUUUAAGUGUUUCUUGUAAUUCAUUCGUGUCAAAUUGCCAUACAUGUUUGUAUGUUAAUAGAUUUUCUUUUUGUUGCAUAUAAUAUACAAGGAUGACUCUUUCACCACUUCGAAAUUCGAUGCAAACUCAUGUGUUUUCUGCGGUCAAGUUCAGGUACAAAUCCAUGAAGACGAAGCAAGCAAAUUUUUUAUUCCGUUUUGCUUUUUAUUGUAUUUUGGACAAUGGAUAUGUAUUUGAAUACUUAUGUUAUAUUUGAGCAAUGGAUAUUGUAUUUUGGACAAUGCAUUUCAAGUUUUUUUUGGUUGAA